rnacentral:rRNA from 1 species
AUGGCGAGGCCAGAGCUCGACGGAUCCGUUACCGGUGUGGCGCAGGUCACCUUGGAGUGGUCUGGACGGCGACGACGGCAGGAGGGCGCCGUCCUUCCUGCUCGAGGAGGCAGAGGACGAGGGGCGGACCUAGCUGGCGGCCCUGUCCUGCUCGAGGAGGCGGGGCCUGCCGAGCUCAAGCACGGCCACAACGACCCAGCUUGGCAGUACAGUAGUUUUGGCAAAAAAGAAAAUGGGGAAAGGAGUAUCAGCACGCGAGGAGCAAAGUUCUUUGCUAUCUUGGCUUUACUGGUAAGCUACAUGUUAAAUUAG